GAUGAACGCUGGCGGCGUGCUUAACACAUGCAAGUCGAACGGAAAGGCUCCUGCUUGCAGGGGUACUCGAGUGGCGAACGGGUGAGUAACACGUGGGUGAUCUGCCCUGCACUUCGGGAUAAGCUUGGGAAACUGGGUCUAAUACCGGAUAGGACCGCAUUUUGGAUGGUGUGGUGGAAAGUUUUUUCGGUGUGGGAUGAGCUCGCGGCCUCUCAGCUUGUUGGUGGGGUAAUGGCCUACCAAGGCGUCGACGGGUAGCCGGCCUGAGAGGGUGUACGGCCACAUUGGGACUGAGAUACGGCCCAGACUCCUACGGGAGGCAGCAGUGGGGAAUAUUGCACAAUGGGCGCAAGCCUGAUGCAGCGACGCCGCGUGGGGGAUGACGGCCUUCGGGUUGUAAACUCCUUUCGCUAGGGACGAAGAGUAAUUGACGGUACCUGGAGAAGAAGCACCGGCUAACUACGUG
rnacentral:rRNA from 1 species